rnacentral:rRNA from 1 species
UAAUACGUAGGGGGCUAGCGUUGUCCGGAUUUAUUGGGCGUAAAGAGCGUGUAGGCGGCCAGGUAGGUCCGGUGUGAAAACUCGAGGCUUAACCUCGAGAUGUCAUCGGAAACCAUCUGGCUAGAGUCCGGAAGAGGAGAGUGGAAUUCCUGGUGUAGCGGUGAAAUGCGCAGAUAUCAGGAAGAACACCUAUGGCGAAAGCAGCUCUCUGGGACGGUACUGACGCUGAGACGCGA